CCUGAUCCAUGGAAGCUUUUGAGAGCUUUCUGUCUUGAUGGGGAGUAUGCUGUUGGCUUGGACUUUGACUGGGCGGAGCAACCCAAACCGUCUGCUGCUCUGCUACCGCUGCUCCAUUCUGCAGUGACGAAUGGUCUUCGGAGAGUAAACCAGCAGAUGAAGACAAGUAAAACGGAGAUCACGUGGAAGAUGUAGUCUCGCAUGACCUGAUUUCAGUACAGUGUCACCUCAACAGAGUGUGAGAUGAUGUACGUAGUCAGUCUUACGUGGUCUGACUGAACCCACUCGUAUUGCGGGUCGGAUCGGACAU
rnacentral:lncRNA from 1 species